rnacentral:lncRNA from 1 species
GGGUAGCAACCCAGACUGUUCUCAGCCCUGCAUGAGCUCCAGGAAGUGGCUCUGGAUUCAGGUAGAUCCUCUCAUGCUUGACAUAUCAGUGCGCAGACCCGGUGGCGGGAGCUGGGUAUGCUGCCCAUCUCAAGAGCACGCCCUGUGCACCUGUCACCUGCUCAAAGCACCGCAUCCCCUGGAUUUUAUUUGGCUUCCUCUUUCUUGUCCUGGAACUGCUUUCAAGCCACAAGCUCAGGCGACAGUACAACUCACUUUCAUUUCUCAGGCAAACAGCCCCAUGCUGUCCAUUGUCUAAUGUCUGAAAACCAGUUUUUAAACGUAUCUCGUCCCCUUUUUAUUGGUUUAAGGGGGAAGGGGGAAGCUGGUCCCAUUACUCCAGAAUCACCCCCGGAGGCAGCUUGUUAGGUGAGCAAAACUUCAGGCAGAUUCACAACAUGUAUCGGCGCCGUGAGAUGAGUGAGCUUGAUCUUGAUAAGACAGUCAGUACGUUUUCCUAAAAUGUGUGUAUUCUGCGUCGUAUGUGACCAAACACGAGGCAGCCUGGCAUGUGGUGUCAUGCAGUCGUUUCCCAAUGAGCAGCUUGACAAAGGAAAGACUUAGCUGGGUAGUCAGACGAUCGGUAGAUGGAUAGAUAUUUAGACGUUGAUGCAGACAGCCUGCAAGAGAUGCAGUGCUAAAUCUCCGCUCGGAGUGGUCAGUUUGUUACAAAUAUGUAAAACCGCACAUCAGGUAAACUCAUACGUUGUUUUAGAAUAUUGCCUUUCCCACUCUAGCUGACAUGAAAUAAUUUCAUUUAGUCCCUUAUACACAUCUUUGGCUUUAGUAAUUUUGCUGUGCCAUAAUUUCUUUUCAUCUAAAACAUCAUUUUUCUUCUUUUUUUUUUUUUUCCUUUGGCUGUAGCCACAGCAUGUGGACAGUCCUGGGCCAGGGAUCGAACCCAUGUCACAAUAGCGACCUGAGCCGCUGCAGUGACAACACUGGAUCCUAACCCACUGCACACAAGGGAACUCCUAAACCUUCAUUUUUAUGUCAUCAGCGUUGUACGAGCCACAGCCCUCCUGAUGUCUUACAUGCGCUGCUCACACUGGGAAUUCCACCCGGGCUACAAGCAUUUAUUUACAGUCAGGAAAAUGUAAAUAAAUGGCUUGUUUUUCUGUGCUUGUCCUUCUUUUGUUUGUUUGCAUUCAGCGGUCACCUCAUAUAAAACGCUUACUUUGUGGCUUUUGUAAGUGACUUCCAUAAGGCUUGUUUGCAGUAUGUCCAGCAGUGGUGCUUGUGUGUGUGUGCCACACCCCCAAGAAUAAUUACUCAAGACUAAUCCUGUUCAGUUUCUUUGUUUUUAAAAAUCCAUUCCAUCAAAUGACCUCCAUAAUCAUCCCAAGCUAGCAUUUUUAGGGUCAUUUUAGACCCUGCUUGCAAGAUAAAAUAGAGUGUCCACUUCAAUUUGAAUUUCUGAUAAGUAAUAAAUCAAUUUUCAUAUAAAAAUGCCCCAAAUACUGUUUGGAGCAUAGUUACACUAAAAGAAAAAUGUGUAUUUGAAAUUCGCAUUUAACCACGCAUACAGAUUCCCAGUUAAAAUAAAAAUACAGAGGUUUCUUUGCUAAAUCUGACAACCCUACUUUAGACCGGGGCCUGCUUCAACUAUCUUUCUAAGAUGUGGCUGAUCAGGUGAUUCCUGCUAUUUUGAGUGAUAAUAGAGAGAAUCUCGCUCUCUUCUUAGGCAUUAACAGGAACUUCCUCCAUCAUUUUCUUCCCAAGUAUGUCAUACCAGAAGCGCUCUCAAAUGUAUUUCUGGGUAUUUUUCCUUGGUGGGAGGUAGAAAUUAAUUCAGAAAAUCAAAUAUUAAAAGACUGGGUUCACCAAUUCUCUUAAUGUGCCGCCAGAACCCACAUUACUGAUUAAAAUAUGAUAUUCUUUUUUUAAUAACUCAAUGAAUUUUAUUGCAUUUAUAGUUGUACAGCGAUCAUCACAACCCAAUUUAUGGCUUUUCCAUUCCAAACUCCGAGUGCAUCCCCCCCCCCCCCCCCCCNGUCUCCUUUGGAAACUGUAAGUUUUUCAAAGUCUGUGAGUCAGUAUCUGUUCUGCAAAGGUUAUUGUGUCCCUUUUUUAGAUUCCACAUGUACUGAUAGCACUUAAUGUUGGUGUCUCACUGUCUGACUGAUUUCACUUAGCAUGGUCAAUUCUAGGUCCAUCCAUGUUGCUGCAAAUGCCGUUAUUUCUUCCCUUUUAAUGGCUGAGUAGUAUUCCAUUGUGUAUAUGUACCACAUCUUCUUGAUCCCCUCCUCUGUCGAUGGACAUUUAGGUUGUUUCCAUGUCUUGGCUAUUGUAUAGAGUGCUGCAGUGAACACUGGAGUACCUGUGUCUUUUUGAGUCACGGUUUUCUCUGUAUUCUUUUAUUUUUUAAUUUUUUUUCCUUUGUCCACCCCUGCGGCAUAUGGAAGUUCCUGGGCCAGGGAUCAGGUCUGAGCCACAGCUGCUGCAAAGCUGGAUCCUUAACCCACCGCGCCAGGUCGGGGAUUGAGCCCGCACCUCCUCAGUGACCUGAGCCUCUGCAGUCAGGUUCUUAACCCACUGCCCCACAGUGCGAACGCCUAAAAUGUGAUUCUUCUUAACACAGGUUUGGCCUGAUGUGUUCAUUUUUCUUUCCCUAUUUUCAGCUGUGUUUUUCCUGAGUCUUUGGACACUUCAGUAUUUUUCAAAAGCACUUGUCAUCUUACUCACCACCAUCCUGACCCCACAGAGUUCAGGUAUUGCCCAAGCCACAUGUGCUUGCCAGGCAGCUAGAACAGCAAAUGGUAAGAUCGAGGAAGAAAUCUAGGAUUAAAGAAUCCCUUUCAUCAAAUUGACUGUUAAAAAAAAACGGACGUCUUAACUGAAUUUCUUCAUAAAACGGACUGUGUUUUCCUCAUUUAUUCUCGGGCGUGGUUACAGUCAGGCUUUCAUCUUCCCCGGCUGCAUUAUUUAGAAGGAGUAAUUCAAUUUACCCCAGUGCUCUGGAAUCCUGGCGGGGGAUCAGAUCUUCCGUAACUUAACUUGUUCUGUCACUUUAUUCAGUUAGGGGGGAAAAUUACGUUUGCCACUUCAAAUGCCACUUUCGAACCUCUGAGAAAGCGCUCGGUUCAUCUGCGGCUCCUGAGCAUCCUCCGUCAGUAUCAAAUCGUAGCCAGCUCGAAUCGUUUCCGAGGAUUCAGAAAAUCAUUUUUGGUCUGUCCCUAAGGAUACAGAUUGGAGGUAAAGUGAUAAGACUUGGAAGUAACACAAUAAAACGUCCCUAGGCAGCAUGCUAAUCUUAGAUGAACCAGGAGGGUGGAAGCCCUUGCCCAGAGAUGUGCUAGAAAUUAUCCUUCCCACGCGGUGACCGGAUUCAGUGCCUCUCAUGCCGUGAUUUUCUCUUGCUUGUUUGCUUUCUUCUCCUCCUCCUCCCGUUUAUGUAGAAAAGCAGCUGCUGCUCUUGUUGGCAGAUGACCCCGUGGGUUCCGAGGAAAGUUGGGGCGCUCCCGGCCUUGGGGGCGGAUGCGGUGCAGGAGCCGAGUGCUCGGUCCAGGACCGUUUUCACGCCCUGAGGCUUAAAAGGCCUUUCUCCCCGCACAUUCCUAUCUCUGUAGAACGUCCCUGCUUUUCUUGCCACCGCAGUCCGGUCUCUACCAGCCAGACAGCUGACAUGAACCAGAGCGUGGCCAGUCCCCGCCACCCUCUCCCACACCCGUUUGUCGUUUUAUGUCAAGGAAGAUUUCCAGUGUGCUAACCUGGGAACCUCCAUAUACCUCGGGAGUGGCCCUAGAAAAGGCAAAAAGACAAAAAUAAAAAAGUUUAAAAAAAGACGACACAACAAAAGCAGGCCAGAAGGAGCGAGGGAGAGUUCGGGUAUGGUGCGAAUCAGAUUCCUAGUCUCCACCCCACAGAUCUGGAUUCGAGGCCACACUCAGCGAUCUCAUUUUAAAUUCCUGGGUGAUUCGGAUUCACCAGGGCUUGAGAGCCCAUGGCCUGAAUGGCCCAGAAAUCAGCCCUGCGCCCCAGGUCCCCACCAAAAAAAAUGGGGUGGGAUUCCACGUGUGGCUUGGCGUGUUGAGGAUCCAGCGUUGUCACUGCAGUGGCUGGGGUCCCUGCUGUGGCUUGGGUUUUGGUCGCUGGACCAGGAGCUUCUACAUGCCUGGGGCAUGCGCCCUUGCCCCCCCAAAAGGGGGCAGAUGGCUCGGGCUGCACAGAGCAUUGGGCAGAGCCAGGCGGGCGGGGGAACAGUGCUGACACAGCCCUUAGCCCGGGUGACUUCGGUUUUCCUAUCUGAGAAGUAAGAAAAUUGGAUGAAAUAAUCUUGAACUCUGUCCCGUUACGGAUUUAUCUGAUUCCGUGAGUCCUGACUUUCUUAUUACUCACCGAGGGUGAAUAGGCUCAGUCCCCAGAGGGGAUUGUCAUGCUUGUAGUAUCUCUUCCUGAUUCGGCCAAGGAUUUUGGCGAGCCCGUCCAUCCAGCCCUCCAGUCUUCCUCCGCUUCUGGUCAGAGGGCCAGCUGUGCUGGUGGCCACUGACCCAGCGGCCUUCCGCUCUUUGCAGCUCUCAGAAGUCCUUCCUCUGACUUCCCUGAAUUGCUGGUUUCAAACCCGGCUGUAUAUUAGGAUCACGAGGGGGUGUGUAGGAUUCUCGUGCAGAGAGAUGGGCACCGAGGCUUUUUUGCCAGGAAGCAGUGUUUAUUCGUGCCGGCACCGCUCCGGGGGUUCACAUCCAGAGCCGAGCCCCGAGCGCAGCGGGGCGCUGUCCUAUGUACCCUCCCUUAGUUUUUCUUUUGCGCUUUGAUCCCUUUGUCCCCCUUAUGAGAUAGCAUCCACUCUGUAAUUCUGGUUGGAUGGCUGUGUCACAGAGACGCACACGGAUGCGGUCUCUCUUCUGCCGCAGAGUCACGCCUGCGCGCACAGAUGCGGGCUCUGCCACGUUGCCUCCCGUUUGUUCUGGGAGCGCCCUUCCCACAGGAGCUUUUAUGAAAUAUCAGGACUUGGGCUCUACCCCUGACCACUGAAUCCAGACCUUGGGAGUCAGGCUUAGGCCUCUGCAUGUUUACAGCUCCCCACGGGUCUGAGAUGCACAGGACAGUGCGAGCCAGCUCCCCAGGGCUGGUCUGAAAGCCGGGGUGACGGGGUCUCCAGCCCCUCUUCACCCAAGUCCAAGGGAGCGGAUGUUUGAAUUUGCUCUGCUGCCAGGUUUCUUCGGCCUAGGCCUCCCUGCCAGCGAUUCUGAUCCACCAUGUCACUGCGGGGUCAGGCCGGUGCGAUGGGACAUGGGAAGUGGAAAAGCUGGGCCAGCUGGCGCCACUACAUUCUCAUCAGUGGACCCGAGUCAGGUCCCCCGAGGUGCCGUUUCUCAUUUGCAACGUGAGGCCAGCAUUGCCCUCUGGUUAUUCAGCAGAUCAAAUGGGCAAGGUUUGUGACCUGGCUUGGAGACUGGAAAGUGCUAUAAACUCCAGUGGGUCUAAGCAUCUUGGAUGUAGCGGUUCACCUGUUCAGCUGAGGUUGUCCAUUCUUCCCAAACUGACUGACCGACGUACUCAGUGCAGUACCAAUAGCAAUCAGAAUCCCAGCAAGCUUUGUUUUAAAAACUAGACAUCACUAAGCUGAUUCUGUAAUGUGCAUGAAGAGGCAGAGGCCCUGGAAUAGUCAACACAGUUCUGCAAAAGAAGCACAAGCGUGGGGGGUUCACAUCCCUGGUUACAAACAACUGUGAACAAGAUGAGGUCGUGUCAGCAUGAAGACGGGAAGGAGCUCAGCGAGAGAGAGGGGUUCAUGCCAAAUAGAUCCACAUAUGCGUGGCCGCUGGACUUUUGAAUAGAAUUGCCAAGGCAGUUGUACAGAGAAGACAUAACGUUCAACAAAUGAUGCUGGAAUAGACAGACAGCAACACACACGCACACACACACACAUACCCAACAGACAGCAACACACACACACACACACACACACACACACCCCUUGUAUCUUUCACAGAACACAGAUGCAGAGUUCCCCUCGUGGCUCAGCGGAAACCAAUCUGGCUAGUAUCCAUGAGGAGGCAGGUUUGAUCCCUGGCCUCACUCGGUGGGUUAAGGAUCUGGCUUUGCCGUGAGCUGUGGUCUGGGUCGCAGGCACGGCUAGGAUCUGGCGCUGCUGUGGCUGUGGUGAAGGCCAGUGGCUACAGCUCCGAUUGGACCCCUAGCCUGGGAACUUUUGUAUGCCAAGAGUGCAGCCUUAAAA